rnacentral:rRNA from 2 species
AUUCCCCUUAGUAACUGCGAGUGAAGCGGGAAAAGCUCAAAUUUAAAAUCUGGUGGUCUUUGGCCAUCCGAGUUGUAAUUUAGAGAAGCGUCUUCCGCGCCAGUCCGUGCACAAGUCUCCUGGAAUGGAGCGUCAUAGAGGGUGAGAAUCCCGUCUUUGGCACGGAUUCCUGGUGCUUCUGUGAUGCGCUCUCGAAGAGUCGAGUUGUUUGGGAAUGCAGCUCAAAAUGGGUGGUGAACUCCAUCUAAAGCUAAAUAUUGGCGAGAGACCGAUAGCGAACAAGUACCGUGAGGGAAAGAUGAAAAGCACUUUGGAAAGAGAGUGAAACAGUACGUGAAAUUGUUGAAAGGGAAACGCUUGAAGUCAGUCGCGUCGACCGAGACUCAGCCUUGCCUUGGCUUGGUGUACUUCUCGGCUUGACGGGUCAGCAUCAAUUUUGCCCCUCGGAUAAUGGCAAGGGAAAGGUGGCACCUCUAGGGGUGUGUUAUAGUCUCCUGUCGCAUGUGAGGGGGGGGAUUGAGGAACUCAGCGCGCACCUUGGUGUCGGGGCUUUUGCCCACGUCACGCGCUUAGGAUGCUGGCGUAAUGGCUUUAAACGACCCGUCUUGAAACACGGACCAAGGAGUCCAACAUGCCUGCAAGUGUUCGGGUGGAAAACCCGUGCGCGUAAUGAAAGUAAAAGUUGGGACCUCUGUCGUGGAGGGCACCGACGCCCGGACCAGACCUUCUGUGACGGAUCUGCGGUAGAGCAUGUAUGUUGGGACCCGAAAGAUGGUGAACUAUGCCUGAAUAGGGUGAAGCCAGAGGAAACUCUGGUGGAGGCUCGUAGCGAUUCUGACGUGCAAAUCGAUCGUCAAAUUUGGGUAUAGGGGCGAAAGACUAAUCGAACCAU